rnacentral:misc_RNA from 1 species
GAUGAAGAACGCAGCGAAACGCGAUAAGUAAUGUGAAUUGCAGAAUUCAGUGAAUCAUCGAAUCUUUGAACGCACAUUGCGCCCGCCAGUAUUCUGGCGGGCAUGCCUGUUCGAGCGUCAUUUCAACCAUCAAGCCCCCGGCUUGUGUUGGGGACCUGCGGCUGCCGCAGGCCCUGAAAACCAGUGGCGGGCUCGCUAGUCACUCCGAGCGUAGUAAUACAUCUCGCUCAGGGCGUGCUGCGGGUUCCGGCCGUUAAAAAGCCUUAUUUACCCAAGGUUGACCUCGGAUCAGGUAGGAAGACCCGCUGAACUUAAGCAUAUCAAUAAGCGGAGGA